UAGAUAAGAUGGGAAAAAAACAUCACAUUGGGGGAACCACCAGGAUUCUUACAUUCUUGGUGGUGUGUAUUUUGGGAUCUCUACUGUGCAGCUCCAGAGAGACGUGAAACAUGUGAACACUCAAGUGAAGCAAAAGCCUUCCAUGAUUACGAAUAUGAUUUAACUGGUGAAGUGGGUUCAAGUCCAGGCUCCUCUGCUUCC
rnacentral:lncRNA from 1 species